rnacentral:rRNA from 1 species
CCUACGGGUGGCAGCAGUGAGGAAUAUUGGUCAAUGGGCGGAAGCCUGAACCAGCCAAGUCGCGUGAGGGAUUAAGGCCCUGCGGGUCGUAAACCUCUUUUGCCGGGGAGCAGAGGUCCGGACGUGUCCGGGCCGGGAGAGUACCCGGAGAAAAAGCAUCGGCUAACUCCGUGCCAGCAGCCGCGGUAAUACGGAAGGCCCGAGCGUUAUCCGGAUUCAUUGGGCUUAAAGGGAGCGUAGGCGGGCGUUCAAGUCAGCUGGAAAAUCGCGCGGCUCAACCGCGCCCCGCAGUUGAAACUGGACGCCUUGAGUUCACAACAGGCAGGCGGAAUUCGUGGUGUAGCGGUGAAAUGCAUAGAUAUCACGAGGAACCCCGAUUGCGAAGGCAGCCUGCCGGGGUGCGACUGACGCUGAGGCUCGAAGGUGCGGGUAUCAAACAGGAUUAGAUACCCUAGUAGUC